rnacentral:sRNA from 1 species
UGACAAGACAGGAUCUUCCAUGUUAUAUC